UACGUAGGGUGCGAGCGUUAAUCGGAAUUACUGGGCGUAAAGCGUGCGCAGGCGGUUUUGCAAGCCGGAUGUGAAAUCCCCGGGCUCAACCUGGGAAUGGCAUUCGGGACUGCAAGGCUGGAGUGCGGCAGAGGAGACUGGAAUUCCGCGUGUAGCAGUGAAAUGCGUAGAUAUGCGGAGGAACACCGAUGGCGAAGGCAAUCCCCUGGGCCUGCACUGACGCUCAUGCACGAAAGCGUGGGGAGCAAACAGG
rnacentral:rRNA from 1 species